GACGUAGGGCGCGAGCGUUGUCCGGAUUUAUUGGGCGUAAAGAGCUCGUAGGCGGCUUGUUGCGUCGACUGUGAAAACCCGCGGCUUAACUGCGGGCUUGCAGUUGAUACGGGCAGGCUAGAGUUCGGUAGGGGAGACUGGAAUUCCUGGUGUAGCGGUGAAAUGCGCAGAUAUCGGGAGGAACACCGGUGGCGAAGGCGGUUC
rnacentral:rRNA from 1 species